rnacentral:sRNA from 1 species
UGCUAAUGCUGGUAUCCCUAAAAUGCAAAACUACGAACGGAAAAAAAGAUGAGAAACCCUAAAAUGCAAAAUACAAACAAACAUAAACUAAAAUGCAAAAUCAAACUGAAAAGACGUACGAUUUGCGUUCAAGAAAGCGUUAGGCGUUAAACGGACGGUGAUCUAAUACCUUGUGCCUAGAAUGUUGGUUCGCCUGAUUUAGUAUAAAGGAGUAUAUCACGUGAUACUAGAUGAGACGACUUUAGGAGGUGUAACAAAUUAAACUGUCCUAUAAAGGUAACACGAGAAUUACAACACUUGUUGUAGUUAUCAUGAAGACAAAAUCUCGCAUCAUUCGAUAUUCUUUUAAUCUCUAACUCCUCUUCCUCAGCCGGAUCCUUCUUUUUUUCUUCAGUCGGAUCCUUCUUCUUUUCCUCAGCCGGUUCCUUCUUCUUUUCCUCAGUAGGAUCCUUCUCCUCUUCCUCAGUCGGAUCUUUCUUCUUUUCCUCAGUCAAAUCCUUCUCCUCUUCCUCAGCUCGAUCCUUCUCUGGUUGUGUCUUCUUCAGCUUAUUUUCCACCUUUGUCUUAUACGUUAGAUCCUUGAGAUCCUUCGCAUCCUUCAAUGCCUGCUUCCUCUUCUCAUUUUCUAACCUUUUUUGCUCAUUAGUUUUUCUUCGGAAAGUUUCCAUAGCAUCGUUAGCUUCUUCGUUACUCUGCAGGGUUUCCUCCCUUAGCUUCUUAUUUGCAGCAUCAAUGGCUUCGGCCAAAGCCUGAACAAUCUUAUCAUCAGCACUUGAAUUAGAUGGAUGUUUCCCUAGACCUAGAACACGGAACAGAUUGGAGAAACAAGUUUUCAUAUAUUUUUAGAUCUUUUUAGAGAAAUGAGAAAGAUAGAGAGAAAUUGUUUUAUUUUAGAGAGACAAGAAAUAUAGAGAUAAAUAAUCGUAUACAGUAAGUGUGUAUUUAUGGGAGUAUGUCACGUGAUACUAGAUGAGACGACUUUGGGAGGUGUAACAAAUUAGACUGUCCUAUAAAGGUAACGCGAGAAUUACAACACUUGUUGUAGUUAUCAUGAUGACAAUAUCUCCCAUCAGUCGAUAUUCUUUUAAUCUCUAAAUAUUCAGAUGAUGCUCUGUCUCUGUUUCGAAUUCCAUAUAAACAAACAAAUAAUUAAGAAUCAAUAAAACAAUCA